GAGUUUGAUCAUGGCUCAGAUUGAACGCUGGCGGCAGGCCUAACACAUGCAAGUCGAGCGGCAGCACGGGUACUUGUACCUGGUGGCGAGCGGCGGACGGGUGAGUAAUGCCUAGGAAUCUGCCUGGUAGUGGGGGAUAACGCUCGGAAACGGACGCUAAUACCGCAUACGUCCUACGGGAGAAAGCAGGGGACCUUCGGGCCUUGCGCUAUCAGAUGAGCCUAGGUCGGAUUAGCUAGUUGGUGAGGUAAUGGCUCACCAAGGCGACGAUCCGUAACUGGUCUGAGAGGAUGAUCAGUCACACUGGAACUGAGACACGGUCCAGACUCCUACGGGAGGCAGCAGUGGGGAAUAUUGGACAAUGGGCGAAAGCCUGAUCCAGCCAUGCCGCGUGUGUGAAGAAGGUCUUCGGAUUGUAAAGCACUUUAAGUUGGGAGGAAGGGCAGUUACCUAAUACGUAUCUGUUUUGACGUUACCGACAGAAUAAGCACCGGCUAACUCUGUGCCAGCAGCCGCGGUAAUACAGAGGGUGCAAGCGUUAAUCGGAAUUUACUGGGCGUAAAGCGCGCGUAGGUGGUUUGUUAAGUUUGGAUGUGAAAUCCC
rnacentral:rRNA from 1 species